rnacentral:tRNA from 1 species
ACUUAAAUAGUUUAAUUAAUAAAAUAUUGAUUUGUGGUGUCAAUGAUGUAUAAGAUACUUUAGGUU